UGGGGAAUAUUGGGCAAUGGGCGCAAGCCUGACCCAGCGACGCCGCGUGAGGGAAGACGGUCUUCGGAUUGUAAACCUCUGUUGCAGGGGAAGAAGGAAGUGACGGUACCCUGCGAGGAAGCCCCGGCAAACUACGUGCCAGCAGCCGCGGUAACACGUAGGGGGCGAGCGUUGUCCGGAAUUACUGGGCGUAAAGGGCGCGUAGGCUGCGAGGCAAGUCGGAUGUAAAAGGCACGGGCUCAACCUGUGUAUGCAUUCGAAACUGUUUUGCUGGAGGGUAGAGAGGCAAGCGGAAUUCCCGGUGUAGCGGUGAAAUGCGUAGAUAUCGGGAAGAACACCGGUGGCGAAGGCGGCUUGCUGGCUACACCCGUGACGCUGAGGCGCGAAAGCCAGGGGAGCGAA
rnacentral:rRNA from 1 species